UACGUAGGGGGCAAGCGUUGUCCGGAUUUAUUGGGCGUAAAGAGCGUGUAGGCGGUUUGGUAGGUCCGUUGUGAAAACUCGAGGCUCAACCUCGAGACGCCGAUGGAAACCAUCAGACUAGAGUCCGGAAGAGGAGAGUGGAAUUCCUGGUGUAGCGGUGAAAUGCGUAGAUAUUAGGAAGAACACCAGUGGCGAAGGCGCUUUCUGGACUGUAACUGACGCUGAGGCACGAAAGCGUGGGGAGCAAACAGG
rnacentral:rRNA from 1 species